UACGAAGGGGGCUAGCGUUGCUCGGAAUUACUGGGCGUAAAGGGCGCGUAGGCGGAUGAUUUAGUCAGGCGUGAAAGCCCCGGGCUCAACCUGGGAAUUGCGCUUGAAACGGGUCAUCUUGAGGGCGAGAGAGGGUGGUGGAAUUCCCAGUGUAGAGGUGAAAUUCGUAGAUAUUGGGAAGAACACCGGUGGCGAAGGCGGCCACCUGGCUCGCACCUGACGCUGAGGCGCGAAAGCGUGGGGAGCAAACAGG
rnacentral:rRNA from 1 species